AGAGUUUGAUCAUGGCUCAGAUUGAACGCUGGCGGCAGGCCUAACACAUGCAAGUCGAGCGGUAGCACAGAGAGCUUGCUCUCGGGUGACGAGCGGCGGACGGGUGAGUAAUGUCUGGGAAACUGCCUGAUGGAGGGGGAUAACUACUGGAAACGGUAGCUAAUACCGCAUAACGUCGCAAGACCAAAGUGGGGGACCUUCGGGCCUCAUGCCAUCAGAUGUGCCCAGAUGGGAUUAGCUAGUAGGUGGGGUAAUGGCUCACCUAGGCGACGAUCCCUAGCUGGUCUGAGAGGAUGACCAGCCACACUGGAACUGAGACACGGUCCAGACUCCUACGGGAGGCAGCAGUGGGGAAUAUUGCACAAUGGGCGCAAGCCUGAUGCAGCCAUGCCGCGUGUGUGAAGAAGGCCUUCGGGUUGUAAAGCACUUUCAGCGGGGAGGAAGGCGAUAAGGUUAAUAACCUUGUCGAUUGACGUUACCCGCAGAAGAAGCACCGGCUAACUCCGUGCCAGCAGCCGCGGUAAUACGGAGGGUGCAAGCGUUAAUCGGAAUUACUGGGCGUAAAGCGCACGCAGGCGGUCUGUCAAGUCGGAUGUGAAAUCCCCGGGCUNAACCUGGGAACUGCAUUCGAAACUGGCAGGCUAGAGUCUUGUAGAGGGGGGUAGAAUUCCAGGUGUAGCGGUGAAAUGCGUAGAGAUCUGGAGGAAUACCGGUGGCGAAGGCGGCCCCCUGGACAAAGACUGACGCUCAGGUGCGAAAGCGUGGGGAGCAAACAGGAUUAGAUACCCUGGUAGUCCACGCCGUAAACGAUGUCGAUUUGGAGGUUGUGCCCUUGAGGCGUGGCUUCCGGAGCUAACGCGUUAAAUCGACCGCCUGGGGAGUACGGCCGCAAGGUUAAAACUCAAAUGAAUUGACGGGGGCCCGCACAAGCGGUGGAGCAUGUGGUUUAAUUCGAUGCAACGCGAAGAACCUUACCUGGUCUUGACAUCCACAGAACUUUCCAGAGAUGGAUUGGUGCCUUCGGGAACUGUGAGACAGGUGCUGCAUGGCUGUCGUCAGCUCGUGUUGUGAAAUGUUGGGUUAAGUCCCGCAACGAGCGCAACCCUUAUCCUUUGUUGCCAGCGGUCCGGCCGGGAACUCAAAGGAGACUGCCAGUGAUAAACUGGAGGAAGGUGGGGAUGACGUCAAGUCAUCAUGGCCCUUACGACCAGGGCUACACACGUGCUACAAUGGCAUAUACAAAGAGAAGCGACCUCGCGAGAGCAAGCGGACCUCAUAAAGUAUGUCGUAGUCCGGAUUGGAGUCUGCAACUCGACUCCAUGAAGUCGGAAUCGCUAGUAAUCGUAGAUCAGAAUGCUACGGUGAAUACGUUCCCGGGCCUUGUACACACCGCCCGUCACACCAUGGGAGUGGGUUGCAAAAGAAGUAGGUAGCUUAACCUUCGGGAGGGCGCUUACCACUUUGUGAUUCAUGACUGGGGUGAAGUCGUAACAAGGUAACCGUAGGGGAACCUGCGGUUGGAUCACCU
rnacentral:rRNA from 1 species